rnacentral:piRNA from 1 species
UUCUUCAUAGAGUAGUUAGAU